UUCAACAAUGGAUCUCUUGGUUCCGGCAUCGAUGGAGAACGCAGCGAAAUGCGAUAACUAAUGUGAAUUGCAGAAUUCAGUGAAUCAUCGAGUCUUUGAACGCACAUUGCGCCCCCUGGUAUUCCGGGGGGCAUGCCUGUCCGAGCGUCAUUGCUGC
rnacentral:rRNA from 1 species